GGAUCUGAGUGUGAAUAUUCGGACAAUCGGAAGGAACGCGGGGCGCGGCGGGCGACCGCGUGAAGGACGACGGCCCUAUGGGUUGUAAACUUCUUUUGUAUAGGGAUAAACCUACCCUCGUGAGGGUAGCUGAAGGUACUAUACAAAUAAGCACCGGCUAACUCCGUGCCAGCAGCCGCGGUAAUUAAAAAU
rnacentral:rRNA from 1 species